GAGUUUGAUCCUGGYUCMKAACGAACGCUGGCGGCGUGCUUAACACAUGCAAGUCGAACGUGAUCCGGAGCUUGCUCCGGUGAAAGUGGCGCACGGGUGAGUAACGCGUGGAUAACCUGCCCUGGUAUCUGGGAUAACAUCUCGAAAGGGGUGCUAAUACCGGAUAAGCCUACGGAUUCUUCGGAGUCUGCAGGAGAAGGUGGCCUCUAUUUAUAAGCUAMCGUAUCAUGAUGGGUCCGCGUACCAUUAGCUAGUUGGUGGGGUAAUGGCCUACCAAGGCGACGAUGGUUAGCUGGUCUGAKAGGAUGAUCAGCCACACUGGAACUGAGACACGGUMCAGACUCCUACGGGAGGCAGCAKUGGGGAAUUUUGCGCAAUGGGGGAAACCCUGACGCAGCAACGCCGCGUGAGUGAUGAAGGCUUUCGGGUCGUAAAGCUCUGUCGAGGGGAAAGAAAUGUAUUUUGGCUAAUAUCCUUAAUACUUGACGGUACCCAUAAAGGAAGCACCGGCUAACUCCGUGCCARCAGCCGCGGWAAUAC
rnacentral:rRNA from 1 species